rnacentral:rRNA from 1 species
UACGAGAGGCCCAAACGUUAUUCGGAAUUACUGGGCUUAAAGAGUUCGUAGGCGGCCAACUAAGUCAGACGUGAAAUCCCUCGGCUUAACCGGGGAACUGCGUCUGAUACUGGAUGGCUUGAAUCCGGGAGAGGGAUGCGGAAUUCCAGGUGUAGCGGUGAAAUGCGUAGAUAUCUGGAGGAACACCGGUGGCGAAGGCGGCAUCCUGGACCGGCAUUGACGCUGAGGAGCGAAAGCCAGGGGAGCAAACGGG